rnacentral:lncRNA from 1 species
AUUCAUUGCUCAUUGCUUCCAAAUCCAAGGAACAGGCAUCUCGGAUCACUGCGCUGUGAGGGCAGGAGGACCCUUCUUUUGGAAAGCGGAAACAGGGCUACCCGAUCUAUCGGUGUCCUAUGGAACCACACUGCCCCCUGUGGUCAGAACCACCUGGGAUGCAGAACAGCAAGGACUGCAAACUUGGGUGCAGAGGGCUUUCCUCCACGCAACCCAGGAAGCUCCGUGAUUGGCAAACUGCUCUGUCAGGAUCCAUCGAAUCAGCAAACAUAGGUGCCUCUAGGAUGCAAACCAGGGAACAGGACUGUUAUGUGGCUUGCUGGUAGCCAAGCAAAAUGCCCCGAUCCAUCAGGUUGGUGAGAGGCCGCUGAAUGAGACCCAGCCUCGUGUUUUGUGGGAUGAAGAGAUGCAGACAAAGUGACUCAGGACCAGAAGGCCCCCUCAGUACCAUCUGAGGACACCGCAGUAGUGCCUAUUAAAUAACAUCCAGACAAGGCAUGGCCCUUCAACUAUCUUAUGAAAUGAGAAACCACCACACCGGCCACGAAGCCGUUCACAUACACAUGUGCAGGGUGGAUGAGGAAAGGACAGAUGAGAAACUGGGACCAUACCAGGUGAUAACUGAGAACCAAACUCCCCAAAGCUCCCAGCACUGGACGACUCCAGAAAGCGUCUUUUCUCUAACUUUACUGGUCUGAAAAAAAAAAAUUCUAAUACGUGCAGCACUUAUAAGUAACUUAUAAAUAUGGGAAGCUGUCAGAAGUUUAUGUAUUUUAAAACCAUGACAUGGGCUAGAGUCUGGUGAAACAAGAUCGGGCAAGGUCGAAAGGUGACAUCUUCGGAGGACCAAAGCACCAACUUUCCCCCGUCAGUGGAACUUUGAAACUAUAGUGUGGAUGGAGUCCAAGACAUGA